rnacentral:lncRNA from 1 species
GAGAUGAGUUCUCCUUCUGAAUGGAGCUCCAGGCGCUCUCAGGGACAGGGUUGAAGACACUCUCUGGUUGCAGUGCCGGGAGUUGGCCUUUUAUUUGUUGUAAUAAUUUAUUUUUGUUUAUUUAUUUAAUGAUAUGUAUAUUUAUAUAUUUGUCAAUGGAAAACCUGCAGGGAUGUCUUGAUACCAUUUUCCAGAAUGACUGUGUAUUUGUGAUGUCCUCAGUAAAAAUAGUACCUACACCCAUAAAUUUUCUCCAAAUUUGAUUUAGGGAAACCAGGUGAACAGAAUUAGAGCUGAAUAUCUCCAGAUGAAAUGUGCUUUUUACUGUAAUAAAUUUCCAAGUGUAUUUUUUCCUCCCAAAGUUGUGCCUCUUAACUCUUAAUUAAUAAGCUGCUAGCUUUUUGAUAUGGCUCACAUAACAUUUCUUCCUACUUUUUAUCAUAACUAGGUUUCCUAAGAUUAUCUUCUCUGUAUCAUUUUAAGAUUUAGCUUUGUUCUGUGAAUGUCAAUGUCAUCUUAGGAUGGUGUUGAUAUGCUCCUGCUCAUUUCUUUAUGCUCUGGGCCUUAAAAGAAAAGCCCCCUUCCCCCAUUUUUUUGUAUGUUUGGUUAACCAAGCCCAAAAUAUAUAUUAUUC